AGAGUUUGAUCCUGGCUCAGAAUCAACGCUGGCGGCGUGCCUAACACAUGCAAGUCGAACGCGAAAGUCCCGAAAGGGAUAAGUAGAGUGGCAAACGGGUGAGUAACGCGUGGGUGACCUGCCUUCGAGCGGGGGAUAACGUUUCGAAAGGAACGCUAAUACCGCAUGACAUCCUGCCUUUGAAGAGGUGGAGAUCAAAGCCGGGGAUCGCAAGACCUGGCACUCGAAGAGGGGCCCGCGUCCGAUUAGCUAGUUGGUGAGGUAACGGCUCACCAAGGCAUCGAUCGGUAGCCGGCCUGAGAGGGCGGACGGCCACACUGGGACUGAGACACGGCCCAGACUCCUACGGGAGGCAGCAGUGGGGAAUUGUUCGCAAUGGGCGAAAGCCUGACGACGCAACGCCGCGUGGAGGAUGAAGACUUUCGGGUCGUAAACUCCUGUCGAAUGGGACGAAAGAACUGCGGGUUAACAACCUGCAGUAGUGACGGUACCGUAAAGAGCCC
rnacentral:rRNA from 1 species